rnacentral:ncRNA from 2 species
UACAUGCUCUUUGUAUCUGGUACACAAAACCAAGUUUACCAGACACUCAACAGGGAAUCAGGUGUAAGUCCUGAGCAGUCCCCGCUGCUGUAACCCAACACAAAAUAAGUAAGCCCCGGUGCCACUGCCAUUUUAGGUGGGAAGGCAGCUUGCUUUUGGGAAGUCAGAAAACCUGCCAAAAUAAUGGUUUCAUU